GCCGCCGCACCGCCCACCCUUCGGCCCCGUCAGCUUCAAGCGCGGAGCCGGCACUGCGGCUGCGCUCCGCCCACGGCCGCCCGUUCUGGGCACGCGCGGGCGAGACGCGCACGCGCCGUAGGCAGGGGCAGGUGACGGGGCAGCGGUAGGAGCGCGCCGCGAUGGUGUACAUAUCUAACGCUCCACGCGCUGCUCCGUGCUCGGCAUGUGUUCUUGUGCGCGCUUGUGCCCGUAUGCAGCGUCUAAUGCUCCGCUCCAACUGUUCCGAGAACCGCGUGCUCGUACUUAGGACAAGUUUUGGAUAACCGGAGCCGGGCUCCUUGGAGCUUCUCAUCCAUAACAGAUUUCUUCUGGUCGAUAGCAGACUUUGUAGUUAUGUUCUUCCAGAGCAUUAUUCAACCAG